UGGUGGAAUUGGUAGACACAAGGGAUUUAAAAUCCCUCGGCGUUCGCGCUGUGCCGGUUCAAGUCCGGC
rnacentral:tRNA from 1 species